rnacentral:rRNA from 1 species
GAUGAACGCUGGCGGCGUGCCUAAUACAUGCAAGUAGAACGCUGAAGGAAGGAGCUUGCUCUUUCCGGGUGAGUUGCGAACGGGUGAGUAACGCGUAGGUAACCUGCCUGGUAGCGGGGGAUAACUAUUGGAAACGAUAGCUAAUACCGCAUAACAGUAGAUGUUGCAUGAUAUCUACUUAAAAGGUGCAAUUGCACCACUACCAGAUGGACCUGCGUGGUAUUAGCUAGUUGGUUAGGUAACGGCUCACCAAGGCGACGAUACAUAGCCGACCUGAGAGGGUGAUCGGCCACACUGGGACUGAGACACGGCCCAGACUCCUACGGGAGGCAGCAGUAGGGAAUCUUCGGCAAUAGACGGAAGGCUGAACGAGCAACGCCGCGGGAGGGAAGGAGGGUCUCGGAUCGUAAAGCUCUGUUGUAAGGGAAGAACGAGUUGGAGAGUGGAAAGUUCACGCUGUGACGGUAUCUUACCAGAAAGGGACGGCUAACUACGUG